AUUCUAAUAGUUUAAUAAAAACACUCUAUUUUCAAUAGAGAAAAAGAUAUAUUCUUUAGAAUA
rnacentral:tRNA from 1 species